AGGGAGUUUGAUCCUGGCUCAGAACGAACGCUGGCGGCGCGUCUUAAGCAUGCAAGUCGAGCGGUAAGAUGGAAGCUUGCUUCUAUCCUAGAGCGGCGGACUGGUGAGUAACGCGUGGGUGACGUACCUUUGUGACGGGGACAGCUCCUAGAAAUAGGAGAUAAUACCGGAUACGCUGCAUGUUGUCAGAGGACAUGCAGGAAAGGAUCUUUUGAUUCGCACAGAGAGCGGCCCGCGUACUAUUAGCUAGUUGGUGAGGUAACGGCCCACCAAGGCGACGAUAGUUACCCGGCCUAAGAGGGUGAUCGGGCACAUUGGGACUGAGAUACGGCCCAGACUCCUACGGGAGGCAGCAGCUAAGAAUAUUCCGCAAUGGACGAAAGUCUGACGGAGCGACGCCGCGUGGAUGAUGAAGGCCGGAAGGUUGUAAAAUCCUUUUAUGACUGAGGAAUAAGCAGAGUGAGAGAAACGCUUUGUGGUGACUGUAGGUCAUGAAUAAGCAACGGCUAAUUACGUGCCAGCAGCCGCGGUAACACGUAAGUUGCGAGCGUUGUUCGGAAUUAUUGGGCGUAAAGGGCAUGUAGGCGGUUCUGCAAGUCUGGUGUGAAAUGCCGGGGCUCAACCCCGGAACUGCGUUGGAAACUGCAGAACUUGAAUCGCUGAGGGGCAGCCAGAAUUCCAGGUGUAGGGGUGAAAUCUGUAGAUAUCUGGAAGAAUACCAAUGGCGAAGGCAGGCUGCCAGCAGAUGAUUGACGCUGAGGUGCGAAGGUGCGGGGAGCAAACAGGAUUAGAUACCCUGGUAGUCCCCU
rnacentral:rRNA from 1 species